UUGCACCAAGACUUAUCCUUUUUAGUGUUAUUGAACCUAAAUUAUAAGGACAUACUCAAGGGUUUUGGAUGAUCACAGCAUCCAAAAAUCCCUGGUCAUGCAUUCAUCCAUUCUCUUUUAGAGGAUAUAUAUCUUUAUGCAUCAUGUCCAUCUCCGUUGUGCAGAGAAGUAUGGCAAUUCAAGCAGAUGAAACCCAAACUUCACCUUAUCAGAAGACCAUAGCUUGCAAUUUGAGCUAGGCCUACACCUCAAAUCUUGACACAAUUCUCUAUUCAAAAAUGUUUGUCGGCAACUUGAAUCCAGAUCUUAUCCAUCGAGCU
rnacentral:lncRNA from 1 species